UACGGGGGGAGCAAGCGUUGUUCGGAUUUACUGGGCGUAAAGGGCGCGUAGGCGGCCAGCACAAGUCAGUUGUGAAAUCUCCGAGCUUAACUCGGAAAGGUCAACUGAUACUGUGCGGCUAGAGUGCAGAAGGGGCAACUGGAAUUCUUGGUGUAGCGGUGAAAUGCGUAGAUAUCAAGAGGAACACCUGCGGCGAAGGCGGGUUGCUGGGCUGACACUGACGCUGAUGCGCGAAAGCCAGGGGAGCAAACGGG
rnacentral:rRNA from 1 species